rnacentral:rRNA from 1 species
UCGCGGCCUAUCAGCUUGUUGGAGAGGUAACGGCUCACCAAGGCAUCGACGGGUAGCUGGUCUGAGAGGAUGAUCAGCCACACUGGGACUGAGACACGGCCCAGACUCCUACGGGAGGCAGCAGUAGGGAAUCUUGCACAAUGGGCGAAAGCCUGAUGCAGCAACGCCGCGUGCGGGAAGAAGGCCCUAGGGUUGUAAACCGCUUUCAGCAGGGAAGAAAAUGACGGUACCUGCAGAAGAAGGUGCGGCCAACUACGUGCCAGCAGCCGCGGUGACACGUAGGCACCAAGCGUUAUCCGGAUUUAUUGGGCGUAAAGAGCUCGUAGGCGGUUCGGUAAGUCGGGUGUGAAAACUCUGGGCUCAACCCAGAGAGGCCACCCGAUACUGCUGUGACUAGAGUGCGGUAGGGGAGCGGGGAAUUCAUGGUGUAGCGGUGAAAUGCGCAGAUAUCAUGAGGAACACCAGUGGCGAAGGCGCCGCUCUGGGCCGUAACUGACGCUGAGGAGCGGAAGCAUGGGUAGCAAACAGGAUUAGAUACCCUGGUAGUCCAUGCCGUAAACGUUGGGCACUAGGUGUGGGUCUCAACCAACGAGAUCCGCGCCGUCGCUAACGCAUUAAGUGCCCCGCCUGGGGGAGUACGGCCGCAAGGCUAAAACUCAAAGGAAUUGACGGGGGCCCGCACAAGCAGCGGAGCGUGUUGCUUAAUUCGAUGCAACGCGAAGAACCUUACCUGGGUUUGACAUGUAGGGAAAAGCUCUAGAGAUAGGGUGUCCUUCGGGGCCUUACACAGGUGGUGCAUGGCAGUCGUCAGCUCGUGUCGUGAGAUGUUGGGUUAAGUCCCGCAACGAGCGCAACCCUUAUCCUAUGUUGCCAGCAAGUUAUGUUGGGGACUCGUGGGAGACUGCCGGGGUCAACUCGGAGGAAGGUGGGGAUGACGUCAAGUCAUCAUGCCCCUUAUGCCCAGGGCUGCAAACACGCUACAAUGGCCGGUACAAAGGGCUGCAAUCCCGUGAGGGUGAGCGAAUCCCA